GCUAAAACCCUAGCCCGCCCAAACACACAAACCCGCCCCACCAUAAUUUAAACCAAACCAUUUGCCACGCCAAGUAUAUGAGAUAGAACCGCACGCAGGAGCAAUAGUUAACAGUACCGUAAGGGAACGAUGAAAUAUAAAUUACAAACCUACAAGCACAAAACAGCAGGGCUGCACCCCCGUACCUUUUGCAUCAUGGUUUAGCCAGCAAAAAGCAAAUAAAGAGCCCUAAACUUGCCACCCCGAAUCCCAGCGAGCUACUCACGGGCAAUCUUAAACUAACGGAUGAACCCAUCUCUGUGGCAAAAGAGUGGGACGACCCUUGAGUAGAGGUGAAACACCAAUCGAGCUUGGAGAUAGCUGGUUGCUCAAAUUUAGACGAAUCAAAGUUCAAUGCCCGCUCAAACCCCAUAUUCCCACAAACCAAAUUUGUUCAUAGCUGGCAGAUAAUCAACGAGGGUACAGCCUCAUUGAAAUUGGACACAACCAAUACUAGAGGACAAUACCCACCACCAACGCCCAGUUGGCCCUAAAGCAGCCACCAAAAAAUAUAGCGUCAAAGCAAAGACAAACACAAUGCCAAAAAACACCCAAACCCCCUACACCAUCAAACUGAGCCACUCUACCAACAUCGCGCUAGAGGCAAAACUGCUAAAACUAGUAACUCAUUAAGAGCCCACUCACACCAAGGCACACCCAUACAUACAAAUUAUUAUCGGACCAAUACGCACAACACAAGAACACUUUACUAAAACAUCCGUCACCCCAACCCAGGAGUGCCACUACACCCGCGCAACAGCCAUAAAAGGAACUCGGCUAACCCACCCCACCUGUUUACCAAAAACAUCGCCUUUAGCCACACAAGUAUUAAAGGUCCCGCCUGCCCAGUGAAUAAGCUUAUUUCAACGGCCGCGGUAUUCUAACCGUGCAAAGGUAGCGUAAUCACUUGUCCCCUAAAUAGGGACUAGUAUGAACGGCUAAAUGAGGGUGAAACUGUCUUUUAUGGCCACUCAGUGAAACUGAUCUCCUAGUACAAAAGCUAGGAUGCACCCACAAGACGAGAAGACCCUGUGGAGCUUACAACAGCUGCGCACUACUACCAGAUAACAUCACCAACAGGUAAACACAAAUCUAAUAAUAGGCCACAGUUUAAGUUGGGGCAACUGCGGAGAACAACUAAACCUCCGUGCAUCGGGCUAACCGCCCCUAAUAAAGGGCCACAACCCUAAAAGACCAAUUAACUGACCCAGUACAACUGACAAACGAACCAAGUUACCCCAGGGAUAACAGCGCCAUCCUCUCCAAGAGUCCAUAUCUACAAGAGGGUUUACGACCUCGAUGUUGGAUCAGGACACCCCAGUGGUGCAGCCGCUACUAAAGGCCCGUUUGUUCAACGGCUAACGUCCUACGUGAUCUGAGUUCAGACCGGAAAUAAUCCAGGUCGGUUUCUAUCUGUGCCAAAUCUUCUUUAGUACGAAAGGACCAAGAAGACAGUGCCAAUACCACGAGCACGCACUGAACACAAAACUGAAACGAUCUAAAGCACCAAAACUUUAACCCACGCCCCUAGACCAGGGGCACUGUUAC
rnacentral:rRNA from 1 species